rnacentral:rRNA from 1 species
CCACACGACUCUCGGCAACGGAUAUCUCGGCUCUCGCAUCGAUGAAGAACGUAGCGAAAUGCGAUACCUGGUGUGAAUUGCAGAAUCCCGCGAACCAUCGAGUCUUUGAACGCAAGUUGCGCCCGAGGCCACCUGGCUGAGGGCACGCCUGCCUGGGCGUCACGC